UCACUGUUGGUCCAGUGGCUAAGACACUGAGCUCCCAAUUCAGGGGGCCCAGGUUCAAUCCCUGGUCAGGGAA
rfam:Ovis aries breed Texel chromosome 12, whole genome shotgun sequence.